rnacentral:rRNA from 1 species
CGGCGGACGGGUGAGUAACGCGUGGGUAACCUGCCCUAAAGCCCGGGAUAACACCGGGAAACUGGUGCUAACACCGGAUACCUUCCGAAGAGGGCAUCCUUUUUGGAAGAAAGGUUAACGCUUUAGGAUGGGCCCGCGUCCCAUUAGCUAGUUGGUGAGGUAACGGCUCACCAAGGCAGUGAUGGGUAGCCGGCCUGAGAGGGUGGACGGCCACACUGGGACUGAGACACGGCCCAGACUCCUACGGGAGGCAGCAGUAGGGAAUAUUGCGCAAUGGGCGAAAGCCUGACGCAGCGACGCCGCGUGGGUGAUGAAGGCCUUCGGGUUGUAAAACCCUGUCCUUGGGGAAGAAGGAAGUGACGGUACCCAAGGAGGAAGCCCCGGCUAACUACGUGCCAGCAGCCGCGGUAAAACGUAGGGGGCGAGCGUUGUCCGGAAUUACUGGGCGUAAA